GUGCUCGCUGCGGCAGCACAUUUACUAAAAUUGGAACGAGACAGAGAUUAGCACGGCCCCUGUGCAAGGGUGACAUGCAGUUCAUGAAGGGUUUCAUAUGUUU
ensembl:snRNA U6 U6 spliceosomal RNA